AAGAAUGCCGUCAGACUAAAAAAACGUGUGACUAAUCGCUAUCUCUAUUUAUAGGUACCCGUAACCGUGAAUAGGAAUAGUAACUCAUGAGAAAAAUACUAGGAUAUAAGUGAGUACGAACUAAUCACUAACACCCCCAACACUGAAAAGGUAAGCUCAUAUUAUAUUCACAUAUUAUUUAUAACACCAAAUUAUCAGAGAUUACUACAAUUUUAAUAAUCUGAUAGUGUCGGUUAGAGUUUUCAAACAACGUAAAGAACAAAUUUAUUCUUAUAACAGAUCCUAGUAAUGACAUAUCAUCGGCGCGGUAAAAAAUAGAAACAGUUUAUUCGCUGAGGUUGAAUUUUUGUAAGUGUAAGUGAUUAUAGUAUAAUCUGUACUUGUGAUUGCUGUGCGAUGCGCUUCAUUGUUGCAGGACAUUGUUCUCAUUAUUAUACGGCCUUCAGCCCUCGGCGGGAUCACCUUAAGAAGAUAUAUGAAUAAUUCCGUAGCUGGUUUUGAUCAUGUUACUAAGAAAAUAGUGAUAAUGUGAUAAUAUAGUGAGAUGACGUUAUUGUGUCGAAUAAUUUUGUGUGGUUAAUGGUAGUAAGCUACUAAGGUUGUGAUUAUUAGAGUGAUGAUAGUUUGUGAUAUUUUGAAUAUUAGUGAUAUAAGAAACGAGAAUCCUACUUUUAUUUUAAUGAAGAUAAUGAUAUUGGUGUUGAUGUGAUUUAUUUAUUACAGUGAUUAUUUUUAAUGAGAAGUUUUAUACUUUAAACUUGAUGAAGCAGUAGUAUUGUGUUGUGGCUGGGUUAUAGAUGUGAUGUUAAUAAUAAAAUUAAUAUGGAUAAUGGUGGCGUUGUUAGUAGAAAUUCUGUUGAUAAUGAAGAUGGUGAUAUCAAUACCAGUGAAUAGUGCUAUGAAGUAAUCUAAUAGUUAUCAAGUGAAGUGAUAGUGUGAAAAUAACGUUUCCCACCUUCUACCGUAACCUUCUGAGACAGAUCGCAACAGUGUCUUCUUGGAAGCCAUCUUUCCGUGCACGUCUGGUGAACUGCUUCAGAAGGAUUACGUCCUCUUUACUAUCUAAAGUCUAGUUUAGAGCUUUGAACAGUAUUCACUGUACGGCUAGCAACAUAAAAAAAAAAAAA